UCCUACGGGACGCAGCAGUGGGGAAUAUUGCACAAUGGGCGAAAGCCUGAUGCAGCGACGCCGCGUGAGUGAAGAAGUAUUUCGGUAUGUAAAGCUCUAUCAGCAGGGAAGAAAAUGACGGUACCUGACUAAGAAGCCCCGGCUAACUCCGUGCCAGCAGCCGCGGUAAUACGGAGGAUGCGAGCGUUAUCCGGAUUUAUUGGGUUUAAAGGGUGCGCAGGCGGUCUGUUAAGUCAGCGGUCAAAGCCCGGGGCUCAACCCCGGCCCGCCGUUGAAACUGGCAGUCUCGAGUUGGAGAGAAGAAG
rnacentral:rRNA from 1 species